GAUGAACGCUGACAGAAUGCUUAACACAUGCAAGUCGACUGGAAUUCACCUUCGGGUGAUAGUACGGUGGCGGACGGGUGAGUAACGCGUAAAGAACUUGCCCUCUAGACUGGGACAACUGUUGGAAACGACAGCUAAUACCGGAUAUUAUGAGAACCUCGCAUGGGGAACUUAUGAAAGGCUAUAUGCGCUAGAGGAGAGCUUUGCGUGCCAUUAGGUAGUUGGUAGGGUAAUGGCCUACCAAGCCGACGAUGGCUAGCCGGCCUGAGAGGGUGAUCGGCCACAAGGGGACUGAGACACGGCCCUU
rnacentral:rRNA from 1 species